rnacentral:rRNA from 1 species
AGUGAACGCUGGCGGUAGGCCUAACACAUGCCAGUCGAACGGCAGCACAGUAAGAGCUUGCUCUUACGGGUGGCGAGUGGCGGACGGGUGAGGAAUACGUCGGAAUCUACCUUUUCGUGGGGGAUAACGUAGGGAAACUUACGCUAAUACCGCAUACGACCUACGGGUGAAAGCAGGGGAUCUUCGGACCUUGCGCGAUUGAAUGAGCCGAUGUCGGAUUAGCUAGUUGGCGGGGUAAAGGCCCACCAAGGCGACGAUCCGUAGCUGGUCUGAGAGGAUGAUCAGCCACACUGGAACUGAGACACGGUCCAGACUCCUACGGGAGGCAGCAGUGGGGAAUAUUGGACAAUGGGCGCAAGCCUGAUCCAGCCAUACCGCGUGGGUGAAGAAGGCCUUCGGGUUGUAAAGCCCUUUUGUUGGGAAAGAAAAGCAGCAGGUUAAUACCCCGCUGUUCUGACGGUACCCAAAGAAUAAGCACCGGCUAACUUCGUG